GAUGAACGCUGGCGGCAGGCCUAACACAUGCAAGUCGAGCGGAUGAAGGUAGCUUGCUAUCUGAUUCAGCGGCGGACGGGUGAGUAAUGCCUAGGAAUCUGCCUGGUAGUGGGGGACAACGUUUCGAAAGGAACGCUAAUACCGCAUACGUCCUAUGGGAGAAAGUGGGGGAUCUUCGGACCUCACGCUAUCAGAUGAGCCUAGGUACGAUUAGCUAGUUGGUGAGGUAAAGGCUCACCAAGGCGACGAUCGUUAACUGGUCUGAGAGGAUGAUCAGUCACACUGGAACUGAGACACGGUCCAGACUCCUACGGGAGGCAGCAGUGGGGAAUAUUGGACAAUGGGCGAAAGCCUGAUCCAGCCAUGCCGCGUGUGUGAAGAAGGUCUUCGGAUUGUAAAGCACUUUAAGUUGGGAGGAAGGGCAGUAAGUUAAUACCUUGCUGUUUUGACGUUACCAACAGAAUAAGCACCGGCUAACUUCGUGCCAGCCGCCGCGGUAAGAC
rnacentral:rRNA from 1 species